GCCAAGAUAGCUCAGUUGGUAGAGCACAUCCAUGGUAAGGAUGAGGUCUCGGGUUCGAUCCCCGAUCUUGGCU
rnacentral:tRNA from 1 species